rnacentral:lncRNA from 1 species
CCAUAUUAACUCGAUAAUAAUACAAUUCUGAAUAUAGUGUGACCCCAAAUAUUUUGAAGGGUAACUCAGAAAGAAGAAGCACCCAUUUUAUUUAUUCCUUUUAAAUUACAACUUUCUCUUAACUUGUGGAUGAUGCAGACACUUUAUAUUCAAAGUGUUUUCAAGGUCCAACACUUUUAUUAAAUAUGUGUUGCUUUUAGAGAUACUUGCGAAAAACUGUCUUCCAAUAUUUAAUCAUGUUCUCCUUACUCUUCUAUUUCCUCAUCUCCAGAAAUGGAAACAUCAUUCAAGUCAUCUUUUUCCCACAAAACACCAUCUUCACUACCAUCCAUACUGUUUGAUAGGCAACAUUUUAAAAAUACAAGCACAAUGGACUCAGUGGAGAUUUUGUCCCAAGCAGUUUUGAUCCUGUUCCCUAAUACAGUUUCUUUAUUUUUAUUAUUAUCAUCUUUAUUAUUUUAAAGACCACAGGUUUCUUUAUUUUUCCUGAUGGAGUCAGUUCAUGUUUUCUGGCCACUAUCCACUCAGUAUAUUCUUUCCUCAAAUGACCUUUGAAUGGCUUAUUAAUGACUAGGUCUAACACUUGUAAUUGUGAUGUCAUUCCUCCCAGAAUAACAACUAGGUCCAUGCUCAUUUCAGCAAUUUUCUUCUUCACAUUUUCAGUGAGGCCAUCGAGUAUGAGUAUUCCUAUCUGAUGAAGUAACUCCCUGGGACGCUUAGCCCAGAUCACAUUCAACCAAUCUAACACAAGUUCUUCAUUCAUCCAUCCCUUUUCCUGUACACAAAUGAUCACUCCUGAUGACCAUGCUUCUCAACUCUUCCAGAUGUUCUCCACAGCAAUGUUCUUUUCAUUCAUGCCUCCAAACCUUGGUGUUCUCACUCAGCCUAUUUUCUAUUACUAAUUCACAGUCCAGUGGGUCAAUGUCAAAGGUCUCAGUCACAUUGCUAUCCCACUUCUUAUGGUGCUCAGGGUCAUUCAGCCCAUCAUAGAUGUCUCAGUGGACACAUCUCAGCACUCCAUCUAGCACCUGAGCUCAUGAGGGGGCAGGUCUAGCCCCUCAGCCUGUUCUCAU